rnacentral:rRNA from 1 species
UACAGAGGGUGCGAGCGUUGUUCGGAAUUAUUGGGCGUAAAGAGCGUGUAGGCGGCCAUGCAGGUCCGUUGUGAAAACUCGAGGCUCAACCUCGAGCUGUCGGUGGAAACCGUGUGGCUAGAGUCCGGAAGAGGAGAGUGGAAUUCCCGGUGUAGCGGUGAAAUGCGCAGAUAUCGGGAAGAACACCCGUGGCGAAGGCGGCUCUCUGGGACGGUACUGACGCUGAGACGCGAAAGCGUGGGGAGCGAACAGG